AACAAUGAUUUUGUUUCAAUUUUAUUGCCUGAAGUUCAGUGUCUAUUUAUUAGGUAUUUUAUGCCUCUCCCCUACUUUUAAAACCUCUAUAAAACUGCUGAAACAAGGAAGGGAUAUGCCUUUUAUAGACAAGACCUAAGGCAACCUUCAUAUUUUCAAUUACACCCUAGGUCACUCUUUUAAUUUCAUUUCUUGCUUGUUUAGUCCCUCAUUUUAGACCUUGUGGCCCAAGUUAGACCACUAAAUCCCUGAUAUUCUAAUUAGAACCCCAUCUUGAAAGUUUUAGGGGUUUCCAAUCUCUCAGUUAUUUGCAGGAUUCCUUUUAUUAAAUUACCUCUAUUGCCCUUAAUUGAACUCUGAAUUACUAACCUAGUUGAACCUAGUCCAAUUUCUUUUACCUUGGUCAACUAACAAUGAUUAAUUAUUCAGGGGCUGGAAUCAAAU
rnacentral:lncRNA from 1 species